UAUUAAAAUUUUCAUCCAUUCCUACGGUUAAAAACUGGUGUUUCUAACAAAAUAGUCAAAUAGUUAUACGUAGUGUGCCAUGUAUACCUUAUUUUGACAUGUAAGGACAUAUUUUUAACGAUAGAAAUUAAUGAAAUUUUUAAUA
rfam:Gossypium hirsutum cultivar TM-1 chromosome 14, whole genome shotgun sequence